CGUCCGUAGCUCAGUUGGUUAGAGCACCACCUUGACAUGGUGGGGGUCGGUGGUUCGAGUCCACUCGGAAUGA
rnacentral:tRNA from 1 species